rnacentral:rRNA from 1 species
CGGGUGGCAGCAGUGGGGAAUAUUGGACAAUGGGGGAAACCCUGAUCCAGCAAUGCCGCGUGUGUGAAGAAGGCCUGAGGGUUGUAAAGCACUUUCAGUGGGGAGGAGGGUUGACAGGUUAAGAGCUAGUUAACUGGACGUUACCCACAGAAGAAGCACCGGCUAACUCCGUGCCAGCAGCCGCGGUAAUACGGAGGGUGCGAGCGUUAAUCGGAAUUACUGGGCGUAAAGGGUGCGUAGGUGGUUUAUUAAGUUAUCUGUGAAAUCCCUGGGCUUAACCUGGGCAGGUCAGAUAAGACUGGUAGACUCGAGUAUGGGAGAGGGUAGUGGAAUUUCCGGUGUAGCGGUGAAAUGCGUAGAGAUCGGAAGGAACACCAGUGGCGAAGGCGGCUACCUGGCCUAAUACUGACACUGAGGCACGAAAGCGUGGGGAGCAAACAGGAUUAGAUACCCGAGU